rnacentral:rRNA from 1 species
GACGAACGCUGGCGGCGUGCUUAACACAUGCAAGUCGAACGAUGAAGAAGAGAAACGCGAACUUCGGUUCAACUUUCACUUCGGAUUAGUGGCAGACGGGUGAGUAACGCGUGAGCAACCUACCUCUUACAAAGGGAUAGCCUCGGGAAACCGUGAUUAAUACCAUAUGACACAUUCAUAAGGCAUCUUAAGAAUGUUAAAGCUACGGCGGUAAGAGAUGGGCUCGCGUCCCAUUAGCUAGUUAGUGAGGUAACGGCCCACCAAGGCGACGAUGGGUAACCGGCCUGAGAGGGUGAACGGUCACAUUGGAACUGAGACACGGUCCAAACUCCUACGGGAGGCAGCAGUGGGGAAUAUUGCACAAUGGAGGGAACUCUGAUGCAGCGACGCCGCGUGAGCGAUGAAGGAAUUCGUUUCGUAAAACUCUGUUCUAUGGGAAGAAAAGGACUGUACCAUAGGAGAAAGCCCCGGCUAAAUACGUG